CAUACAGAUAUGCGUAUGUGUUUGUGUAUACAUACUAAUGUGUACGUAUGCAUAGAUAACAUCCUUCUGAAUUCGAUGAUUCAAUACAAUCGUUUUUCGACUUACACUUUUAAACUUGGAUGGUUUCGGAGGAGAUCAAGUUUUAACAUGUGAUCAGCUCAAAGGGAUCAGAGGGCUCAAAAUAUUGGCAUCACGAGAACAACUAAUCGUAAGACGCACCACUGUGAAAAGAUAUUUCUAUCUUUUAAGAAAACAAUUCCAAAAUUCUAGUAAUCAACAUUGAUAAAUAGAUUAAGGAGAAGAAACCUGGGAAAUCACUGACAAUGGACACCUGUUAUGAAAAUGAGAUGAUCUCACCCAAUUCAAAACAGUCAGCUUUAAUUCAACUAAUAGAGUACAUGAGUAACAAACUAUCAAAGUACAACACUGAAAACGAAGCUUUCGAAGACGAACUGGCUAAUGUUGAAAAAGAACUGAGUACAAAAAAGGAAAUCAUUAGCAGACACCGUGAAAACAUGGUUCAAGUUGA